rnacentral:rRNA from 1 species
AUGCUGCUCACUGUCGUUUUGGUCGUUUUUCUGUUUUUUGUUGUUACGAAAAAGGGAGGUGGAAAGUCAGUGCCAAAUGCAUGGCAAUCCUUGGUCGAGCUUAUUUAUGAUUUCGUGCUGAACCUGGUAAACGAACAAAUAGGUGGUCUUUCCGGAAAUGUGAAACAAAAGUUUUUCCCUCGCAUCUCGGUCACUUUUACUUUUUCGUUAUUUCGUAAUCCCCAGGGUAUGAUACCCUUUAGCUUCACAGUGACAAGUCAUUUUCUCAUUACUUUGGCUCUUUCAUUUUCCAUUUUUAUAGGCAUUACGAUCGUUGGAUUUCAAAGACAUGGGCUUCAUUUUUUUAGCUUCUUAUUACCUGCGGGAGUCCCACUGCCGUUAGCACCUUUCUUAGUACUCCUUGAGCUAAUCUCUUAUUGUUUUCAUGCAUUAAGCUUAGGAAUACGUUUAUUUGCGAAUAUGAUGGCCGGUCAUAGUUUAGUAAAGAUUUUAAGUGGGUUUGCUUGGACUAUGCUAUUUCUGAAUAAUAUUUUCUAUUUCAUAGGAGAUCUUGGUCCCUUAUUUAUAGUUCUAGCAUUAACCGGUCUGGAAUUAGGUGUAGCUAUAUCACAAGCUCAUGUUUCUACGAUCUCAAUUUGUAUUUACUUGAAUGAUGCUACAAAUCUCCAUCAAAAUGAGUCAUUUCAUAAUUGA